rnacentral:piRNA from 1 species
UCCCCUCCAGUGUCAUAGGACCUCCACUC